rnacentral:rRNA from 1 species
UACGUAGGAGGCAAGCGUUGUCCGGAAUUACUGGGCGUAAAGCGCGUGUAGGUGGUGGGACAAGUCUGCUGUGAAAGCGCCUGGCUUAACCGGGCGAGGUCGGCGGAAACUGUUCGACUCGAGGACGGUAGAGGGGGGUGGAAUUCCCGGUGUAGUGGUGAAAUGCGUAGAGAUCGGGAGGAACACCUGUGGCGAAGGCGGCCCCCUGGGCCGGAACUGACACUGAGACGCGAAGGCGUGGGGAGCGAACGGG